rnacentral:tRNA from 1 species
GUCGCUGUGGUGAAAUGGUAGACACUCGACACUUAAAAUGUCGUGGACUUGUCCGUGUCGGUUCGAGUCCGACCAGCGGCA